GGCAUCCUACGGGACGCAGCAGUGAGGAAUAUUGGUCAAUGGGCGGGAGCCUGAACCAGCCACGUCGCGUGAGGGAAGACGGUCCUAUGGAUUGUAAACCUCUUUUGUCGGGGAGCAAAGAGAUCACGUGUGGUCAAAAGCGAGAGUACCCGAAGAAAAAGCAUCGGCUAACUCCGUGCCAGCAGCCGCGGUAAUACGGAGGAUGCGAGCGUUAUCCGGAUUUAUUGGGGUUAAAGGGUGCGUAGGCGGGACGGUAAGUCAGCGGUAAAAAUGCGGAGCUCAACUCCGUCGAGCCGUGG
rnacentral:rRNA from 1 species